GGGGGCUCGUUUCCGGGGUCCCGCCGAGUGGGGGCGGUGGGGCCAGGCCGCCCGACCUCCGAGAUGUCUCGCUUUCCAGGGCGUGACCGCGGCCGGCCGCGCCCUCUCCCUCUCCCACUCCAGUUGCUUUCACUGAAGCCCUCCUUUUGUCCCUGAGGCUUGAAUUUUAAGAUGUUCAUAGAGUCCCAAGAGAGCUGAAUCCGGGGUCGGAAACGUCCGCCGGUUAUUCUGGCAUAUUCUACUGAAUUCUACAGCUGAAAGGAACCAUCCCCGGCUGGAGACUCCCAGGACGAUGGGACGGAGGAGGAAUCAAAUUCUUCAGUCGAGGCCUUCCUGGCUGUUUCAGAGCUCUGUGGUUGGCGUGGUUGAAACUUGAGAUACUUGCAAUGUAUUGUAUGACUGGGAAGAAGAAUAAA
rnacentral:lncRNA from 1 species